AUUGAACGCUGGCGGCAUGCCUAACACAUGCAAGUCGAGCGGGCGGCGGACGGGUGAGUAAUGUAUGGGGAUCUGCCUGAUGGAGGGGGAUAACUGCUGGAAACGGUAGCUAAUACCGCAUACCAUCAGAUGAACACAUAUGGGAUUAGCUUGUAGGUAAGGUAACGGCUUACCUAGGCGCAGAUCCCUAGCUGGACUGAGAGGAUGAUCGGCAACACUGGGACUGAGACACGGCCCAGACUCCUACGUGAGGCAGCAGUGGGGAAUAUUCCACAAUGGGCGCAAGCCUGAUUCAGCCAUGCCGCGUGUAUGAAGAAGGCCUUCGGGUUGUAAAGUACUGUCGUUCGGGAGGCGUUACCGACAGAAUAAGCACCGGCUAACUCCGUGCCAGCAGCCGCGGUAAUUC
rnacentral:rRNA from 1 species